rnacentral:sRNA from 1 species
UGCGCCUGCGGCGGACCCGGCACGGACAGAAAUGAUUGGCUUCGCAGGCAGCCUGUUCGUGUACGGUCUGGUAACGACCGGAAUUUUCCGGGCUUUAACAAAUUC